AGCGGCCAGAGCUCUGUGGAAGAUACACAACUGAACGGAAGGCUGGCCCAGCACAGAGACUCAUCCCAAGAUGGAGAGGGGAUCCUGGAGUGUCAAUUGCAAAGGCCUGAAGCACCAGUGCUGCUGUGGGAAGGUUGCAGAGCAGGCACUCCACUCUGUGCUCCAUUCUUCACAGAAGUAGGAUAAGCUUGCUGAUGCAGCCGCAGCCGGCCUAAGCACUGGACAAGGAAGAGAUCCAUUCCUGACAGCACUUCCCUGGGACCUCCACACGCCUCGGAUGGGGACAGUCUGGAGUGGGAAGGCGGACAUCCUCGCUGCAGAGGGGUACACAGGUGAAGCCUCCAUCUGAGCAGCGGCACCGGAUCUUACAGCUGGGCUGGAACACCUCACCGUCUCGAUAGACCUUUCCAUUCACCUCGCAGCUGUCGUCUUCCUCCUCAACUGCAACCAACAUCCAGAGUAACCCAACCUGGUAUGAGGAGCUCAGCAGAGCGACCAAUCAAACCCAGAGAGAAGGACUCAGGUGCCACUGAGGGCAAACAUACAAUAAUUACAAAGGGGAAUCGGUCAUUUGUGGGCUCAACUUAGGGCCUGGGCCAAAGCCCAUUGAAACCAGAGUGUCUUUCCAUUAACUCCAAAGGGCUUUGCAUCUGGCCCAGAGUGGCCAGGUGAAGGAGGUAACUGAUCAGAUUAGCCAGGUGGUUGGCUUUGCCGGGGCUAUGAUAAGCUACAGUGUCUAUCUGCUGAGCUCCUCAUACCAGCUAUUGAGUUUUUCUCCUGGCUCAGGGGGUGGUGAUCACAGUGUAAGUGCCUGGACAAAGAGAAGUAGCUGAAUGCUCUCUGUGGUCCACCAGGCAUGCCUAUGGCACCGGGUACAAAUGUUAAAUAAGAAUAGAGCUGGUCUAAUAGUGACAUAAUUUAUUUUCAAAUAAAUCUUUUAGUGCGAAGAAUUCCUGGAUUAAUUAUUUAAAG